AGAACGAACGCUGGCGGCGUGCCUAACACAUGCAAGUCGAACGAGAAAGGGGAGCAAUCCCUGAGUAAAGUGGCGACCGGGUGAGUAACACGUGACUAACCUACCUUCGAGUGGGGGAUAACCUCGGGAAACCGAGGCUAAUACCGCAUAGCAUCGGCGCUUUUAAUAAGUGCCGAUCAAAGCAGCAAUGCGCUGGAAGAGGGGGUCGCGGCUGAUUAGCUAGUUGGCGGGGUAACGCCCACAAGGCGAAGAUCGGUA
rnacentral:rRNA from 1 species